GACGAACGCUGGCGGCGUGCUUAACACAUGCAAGUCGAACGGAAAGGCCCUGCUUUUGUGGGGUGCUCGAGUGGCGAACGGGUGAGUAACACGUGAGUAACCUGCCCUUUACUUUGGGAUAACUUCAGGAAACUGGGGCUAAUACCGGAUAGGAGCUCCUGCUGCAUGGUGGGGGUUGGAAAUUUUCGGCGGUUGGGGAUGGACUCGCGGCUUAUCAGCUUGUUGGUGGGGUAGUGGCUUACCAAGGCUUUGACGGGUAGCCGGCCUGAGAGGGUGACCGGCCACAUUGGGACUGAGAGACGGACCAGACUCCUACGGGAGGCAGCAGUGGGGAAUAUUGCACAGUGGGCGGAAGCCUGAUGCAGCAACGCCGCGUGCGGGAUGAAGGCCUUCGGGUUGUAAACCGCUUUCGCCUGUGACGAAGCGUGAGUGACGGUAAUGGGUAAAGAAGCACCGGCUAACUACGUG
rnacentral:rRNA from 1 species